rnacentral:rRNA from 2 species
GCGCAACCCUUAUCCUUUGUUGCCAGCGAUUAGGUCGGGAACUCAAAGGAGACUGCCAGUGAUAAACUGGAGGAAGGUGGGGAUGACGUCAAGUCAUCAUGGCCCUUACGACCAGGGCUACACACGUGCUACAAUGGCGCAUACAAAGAGAAGCGACCUCGCGAGAGCAAGCGGACCUCAUAAAGUGCGUCGUAGUCCGGAUUGGAGUCUGCAACUCGACUCCAUGAAGUCGGAAUCGCUAGUAAUCGUGGAUCAGAAUGCCACGGUGAAUACGUUCCCGGGCCUUGUACACACCGCCCGUCACACCAUGGGAGUGGGUUGCAAAAGAAGUAGGUAGCUUAACCUUCGGGAGGGCGCUUACCACUUUGUGAUUCAUGACUGGGGUGAAGUCGUAACAAGGUAACCGUAGGGGAACCUGCGGUUGGAUCACCUCCUUACCUUAAAGAAGC